rnacentral:rRNA from 1 species
ACGUAGGGUCCAAGCGUUAUCCGGAAUUACUGGGCGUAAAGAGUUGCGUAGGUGGCAUAGUAAGUAGAUAGUGAAAGCGUGUGGCUCAACCAUACAUCCAUUAUCUAAACUGCUAAGCUUGAAGGCGAGAGAGGUAGAUGGAAUUCCUGAUGUAGGGGUAAUAUCCGUAGAUAUUGGGAGGAAUACCGGUGGCGAAGGCGGCCUUCUGGACGGUGACUGACACUCAGACGCGAAAGCGUGGGGAGCAAACAGGA